rnacentral:rRNA from 1 species
UACAGAGGGUGCGAGCGUUAAUCGGAAUUACUGGGCGUAAAGGGCGCGUAGGUGGAUAAUUAAGUCGGAUGUGAAAUCCCUGGGCUUAACCUGGGAAUGGCAUACGAUACUGGUUGUCUAGAGUUGAGUAGAGGGAAGUGGAAUUUCCGGUGUAGCGGUGGAAUGCGUAGAGAUCCCCAAGAACACCAGUUGCGAAGGCGGCUGACUGGACACAUAUUGACGCUGAGGCUCGAAAGCAUGGGGAGCAAACAGG